rnacentral:rRNA from 1 species
AUUGAACGCUGGCGGCAUGCCUUACACAUGCAAGUCGAACGGCAGCACGGGUGCUUGCACCUGGUGGCGAGUGGCGAACGGGUGAGUAAUACAUCGGAACAUGUCCUGUAGUGGGGGAAAGCCCGCCGAAAGCCGGAUUAAUACCGCAUACGAUCUCCGGACGAAAUGGGGGGACCUUCGAGCCUCUCGCCAUAGGGUUGGCCGAUGGCGGAUUAGCAAGUUGGUGGGGUAAAGGCCUGCCAAGGCGACGAUCAGUAGUGGGUGUGAGAGGACGACCAGCCACACGGGGACUGGGCCACGGCCCAGACGCCUACGGGAGGGACCAGUGGGGAAUUUUGGACAAUAGGGGAAAGCCUGAUCCAGCAAUGCCGCGUGUGUGAAGACGGCCUUCGGGUUGUAAAGCACUUUUGUCCGGAAAGAAAUCCUUGGCCCUAAUACGGUCGGGGGAUGACGGUACCGGAAGAAUAAGCACCGGCUAACUACGUG